AAUUGCACCCAUGCUUCUAGAUAAUACUCCUACUAACUACUCUCUUACACAAGACAAGUAGCCACCCUACACAUUGACUCUAAUUCCUCCUUGAUUUACUCUUCUUACACAACACUUGGAUUCUAACUUGGACUUGGUGUUUUAGUUAACACAACCAUUCUUGUUGGACCUCCUUAACUACAGAAACACAAAACACUUAUUCAUAUGGGCUUCACCAUCACCGAUGGCCCAACUCACAAAACACAAAUCCAUAUGGUUUGUUGACCUUCUUCUCCACCUUUGACUCCUCUCUUCACGACAUUUCUUCUCCGACAACGUUUUCUUCUUCACGGGAGCUUUGCUUCUUCUUCUUUGUUCUUCGACUUACUGAUUUCUCUUUGUUGCAGAUUUAAUGAAGAACUCAAUUCUCAAUACUCCCUCUUGAGUUCUUUGAUUAUGUCCCCAAUUUCAGCUUAGGGUUUUGAUUCCCGUAGCUCCUUCUUCGCCUCUAUCGGUUCACCUCUUCUCUGUGUGUGAAUCCUUUUACGACAUAGACACAGCUCACUGCCACUGGUGGUUGGCUUCUCCGACGAAAGCUAGAGGUCACAAACUCUCACCGAUCACCUGUCACCGUCACGGUGAAAGUCUCCACCGCCGUCUUCAACCACCACAUCAUCUGAGACUUAAUUCAAGUCUCCCUCUUCGACGAGACCGACACUUCACGUUCGUCUCUUCCCAUUUAUCGAACCACCACCAUCUCUGUUUGGAAACACUUCAAGCUUCCAUGUCUCCUCAAGUCAUCUCUUCUCACUUUUUCUCCGUGACCACCGUCACGUCUCUUGCUUGGCUGACAUUGCAGCCGGCUGCUCCCUUUCUCUUCAGGUCCACUCAAGCUCCUCAAGUCCUUGUUUCACCAUCCAUGAGUCAUCGUCGCUUCUUUCAUGUCGGUUUAGCCGGUGACAGAGUUGCCGUUCUUCUCAUCUCAGGAGAAGGUUGACAUGUCCACCGCUGUAAAGCUGCGACCGUUGCUACAAGAGAGUCGUCAUGGCUGGCUUCCCUUCUAAUCUUCUUCCUUGCCGUCUAGUCACGGCUUCUUCUUCUUGUUUUAGUUGAAGAAUCACUCGGAUCUCCACUUCAUCAAGCAUCUUCACCAAGACACAUCGAACAAGAACAUAACUCUCCUUCCCCUUCUUCACACCGUUGUCUUCAUUGCUCUUGUCCAGAAGAUCUCCUUGUCUCCAUGGACGCACCUGAAGCCCUCCUUCUCUAAGGCUUCUUCACAUCAUGUGGCACAGGCUCUGAUACCAUGUUGACAUUUUGGGACCUCACUUGUUGAAGUCAAUUUGUUUUCACACACUCUCUUAUGCUCUGUUUCUAUUCUCUGUUUUAACAGAAGCAUAGAGUUACUCUCUCUAUCUCUCUUGUGUUUGUUUUUCUUCACACCAAGAGAGAAGAGAGAAACUUUAAUUGUCUACAUUGCAUUCACUUAGAUUAAUUCUUACAAGAUCACACACA